rnacentral:rRNA from 1 species
AGAGUUUGAUCCUGGCUCAGGAUGAACGCUGGCUACAGGCUUAACACAUGCAAGUCGUGGGGAAACGGCAUUAUGUGCUUGCACAUUCUGGACGUCGACCGGCGCACGGGUGAGUAUCGCGUAUCCAACCUGCCCCUUACUUGGGGAUACCCCGUUGAAAGACGGCCUAAUACCCGAUGUGUUUCAUUGACGGCAUCCGAUAUGAAACAAAGGUUUUUCCGGUAAGGGAUGGGGAUGCGUCUGAUUAGCUAGUUGGCGGGGCAACGGCCCACCAAGGCGACGAUCAGUAGGGGUUCUGAGAGGAAGGUCCCCCACAUUGGAACUGAGACACGGUCCAAACUCCUACGGGAGGCAGCAGUGAGGAAUAUUGGUCAAUGGGCGAGAGCCUGAACCAGCCAAGUAGCGUGCAGGAAGACGGCCCUAUGGGUUGUAAACUGCUUUUAUGCGGGGAUAAAGUGAGGGACGUGUCCUUCAUUGCAGGUACCGCAUGAAUAAGGACCGGCUAAUUCCGUGCCAGCAGCCGCGGUAAUACGGAAGGUCCGGGCGUUAUCCGGAUUUAUUGGGUUUAAAGGGAGUGUAGGCGGUCUGUUAAGCGUGUUGUGAAAUUUAGGUGCUCAACAUUUAACUUGCAGCGCGAACUGUCAGACUUGAGUACACGCAGCGCAGGCGGAAUUCAUGGUGUAGCGGUGAAAUGCUUAGAUAUCAUGAGGAACUCCGAUCGCGAAGGCAGCCUGCGGGAGUGUUACUGACGCUUAAGCUCGAAGGUGCGGGUAUCGAACAGGAUUAGAUACCCUGGUAGUCCGCACUGUAAACGAUGGAUGCCCGCCGUUGGCGCCCUGCGCCUGCGGCCAAGCGAAAGCAUUAAGCAUCCCACCUGGGGAGUACGCCGGCAACGGUGAAACUCAAAGGAAUUGACGGGGGCCCG